UCGAGGAUCUUCGGCAAUGGACGCAAGUCUGACCGAGCGACGCCGCGUGCGGGAUGAAGGCCUUCGGGUUGUAAACCGCUGUCAGUUGGGAGGAAAUCACAUGGGGUACUCUCCAUGUGUUGACCUAUCUUCAGAGGAAGGACGGGCUAAGUUCGUGCCAGCAGCCGCGGUAAGACGAACCGUCCAAACGUUAUUCGGAAUUACUGGGCUUAAAGGGUGCGUAGGCGGCCCUGUAAGUUGGGUGUGAAAUCCCUCGGCUCAACCGAGGAAUUGCGCUCAAUACUGCAGGGCUAGAGGAAGAUAGAGGUGAGCGGAACUUGUGGUGGAGCGGUGAAAUGCGUUGAUAUCACAAGGAACACCUGUGGCGAAAGCGGCUUACUGGGUCUUUUCUGACGCUGAGGCACGAAAGCUGGGGGAGCGAACGG
rnacentral:rRNA from 1 species